GAUGAAGAACGUAGCGAAAUGCGAUACGUAAUGUGAAUUGCAGAAUUCAGUGAAUCAUCGAGUCUUUGAACGCACAUUGCGCCCUCUGGUAUUCCGGGGGGUAUGCCUGUCCGAGCGUCAUUGCUGCCCUCAAGCACGGCUUGUGUGUUGGGCCUCCGUCCUCCUCCCGGGGGACGGGCCCGAAAGGCAGCGGCGGCACCGCGUCCGGUCCUCGAGCGUAUGGGGCUUCGUCACCCGCUCUUGUAGGCCCGGCCGGCGCUUGCCGACACAUCAAUCUUUUUUCCAGGUUGACCUCGGAUCAGGUAGGGAUACCCGCUGAACUUAAGCAUAUCAAUAAGCGGAGGA
rnacentral:misc_RNA from 1 species